rnacentral:rRNA from 3 species
UGGGGAAUAUUGCGCAAUGGGGGCAACCCUGACGCAGCAACGCCGCGUGAGUGAAGAAGGUUUUAGGAUUGUAAAGCUCUGUCUUUGGGGACGAAACAAAUGACGGUACCCAAGGAGGAAGCCCCGGCUAACUACGUGCCAGCAGCCGCGGUAAUACGUAGGGGGCAAGCGUUGUCCGGAAUUACUGGGCGUAAAGGGCACGCAGGCGGUAUAAUAAGUCAGAUGUGAAAGUUUACAGCUUAACUGUGAAAGUGCAUUUGAAACUGAUAUACUUGAGUCUCGGAGAGGUAAGCGGAAUUCCUAGUGUAGCGGUGAAAUGCGUAGAUAUUAGGAGGAACACCGGUGGCGAAGGCGGCUUACUGGACGAGUACUGACGCUCAUGUGCGAAAGCGUGGGGAGCAAACAGG